AGAUUGAACGCUGGCGGCGUGCCUAACACAUGCAAGUCGAGCGGUAACAGGUGUAGCAAUACGUGCUGACGAGCGGCGAACGGGUGAGUAAUGCUUUGGAAUCUUCCCAGUAGUGGGGAAUAACCAGUCGAAAGAUUGGCUAAUACCGCAUACGUCUGUAAAGGGAAAGCGGGGGCUCGUAAGACCUCGCGCUAUUGGAUGAGCCAAAGUCGGAUUAGCUAGUUGGUGGGGUAAUGGCCUACCAAGGCGACAAUCCGUAGCUGGUCUGAGAGGACGACCAGCCACACCGGAACUGAGACACGGUCCGGACUCCUACGGGAGGCAGCAGUGGGGAAUAUUGGACAAUGGGGGAAACCCUGAUCCAGCGACGCCGCGUGUGUGAAGAGGCCUGCGGGUUGUAAAGCACUUUAGUGGGGACAAAAGCUACGGAUUAAUACUCUGUGGUCUUGAUUUAACCAAAGAAAAGCACCGGCUAACUCUGUGCCAGCAGCCGC
rnacentral:rRNA from 1 species